rnacentral:rRNA from 1 species
CCUACGGGUGGCAGCAGUAGGGAAUAUUGCUCAAUGGGGGAAACCCUGACGCAGCAACGCCGCGUGGAGGAUGAAGGUUUUCGGAUUGUAAACUCCUUUUGUUAGAGACGAUAAUGACGGUAUCUAACGAAUAAUCACCGGCUAACUCCGUGCCAGCAGCCGCGGUAAUACGAAGGGUGCAAGCGUUACUCGGAAUCACUGGGCGUAAGGAGCGCGUAGGCGGGAUAGCAAGUCAGAUGUGAAAGCCUAUGGCUUAACCAUAGAACUGCAUUUGAAACUGUUAUUCUAGAGUAUGGGAGAGGUAGGUGGAAUUCUGGGUGUAGGGGUAAAAUCCGUAGAGAUCGAGAGGAAUACUGAGUGCGAAGGCGACCUGCUAGAACAUAACUGCCGCGGAUGCGCGAAAGCGUGGGGAGCAAACAGGAUUAGAUACCCCGGUAGUC